rnacentral:rRNA from 1 species
UUCCGGUUGAUCCUGCCGGAGGCCACUGCUAUCGGGCUCCGACUAAGCCAUGCGAGUCAAGGGGCUCCUUCGGGAGCACCGGCGGACGGCUCAGUAACACGUGGACAACCUACCCUCGGGUGGGGGAUAACCUCGGGAAACUGAGGCUAAUACCCCAUAGGUCUCGGGUACUGGAAGGUCCCGAGGCCGAAAGCUCCGGCGCCCGAGGAUGGGUCUGCGGCCUAUCAGGUAGUUGGUGGUGUAAAGGACCACCAAGCCUGCGACGGGUACGGGCCCUGAGAGGGGGAGCCCGGAGAUGGACUCUGAGACACGAGUCCAGGCCCCACGGGGCGCAGCAGGCGCGAAACCUUCGCAAUGCGCGAAAGCGCGACGAGGGGAGCCCGAGUGCCCUUCCUUCGGGGAGGGCUUUUCUGGAGCCUAAAAAGCUCCAGGAAUAAGGGCUGGGCAAGACGGGUGCCAGCCGCCGCGGUAAUACCCGCAGCUCGAGUGGUGGCCACUAUUAUUGAGCCUAAAGCGUCCGUAGCCGGACCCGUAAAUCCCUGGGUAAAUCCUACCGCUUAACGGUAGGAAUUCCGGGGAGACUGCGGGUCUUGGGACCGGGAGAGGCCGGAGGUACUCCCUGGGGUAGCUGGUGAAAUGCUGUAAUCCCUGGGGGGACCUACCUGUGGCGAAAGCUGUCCUGGCUUGAACUGGCUCCUAACUGGUGAGGGACUGAAGGCCUAGGGGAGCUAAACCUGGAUUAGAUACCCUGGGUAGUCCUUGGCUUGUAAACUGCUGCCCUGCUUGGUGUUGUCUGGUCUCUCUGGGGGCCUGGCUAGUGCCGGAGCGAAGGUGUUAAGCUGGGCCUGCUUGGGAAGUACUGGCCUGCUAAGGCUUGAAACUUAAAGGAAUUGGCUGGGG